GAAUAAGAGGUCCCGCCUGCCCAGUGACAAUACGUUCAACGGCCGCGGUAUUAUGACCGUGCAAAGGUAGCGCAAUCACUUGUCUUUUAAAUGGGGACCCGUAUGAAUGGCAUAACGAGGGCUAAACUGUCUCCUCUUCCCAGUCAAUGAAAUUGAUCCCCCCGUGCAGAAGCGGGGAUACCCACAUAAGACGAGAAGACCCUAUGGAGCUUUAGACACAAAGACAGACUAUGUUAAACACCUUCGAACAAGAAAAAAAACUAAAUAUCCCCUGCUCUUAUGUCUUUGGUUGGGGCGACCUCGGGGAAACAACAAACCCCCAAGCGGAACAGAGGCACUGUCCUCCCAAACUGAGAGCUCCUGCUCUAAGAAAUAAAACUUUUAACCUUACAGACCCGGCAAAGCCGAUCAACGAACCGAGUUACCCUAGGGAUAACAGCGCAAUCCCCUUCCAGAGCCCCUAUCGCCAAGGGGGUUUACGACCUCGAUGUUGGAUCAGGAUAUCCUAAUGGCGCAGCCGUUAUUAAGGGUUCGUUUGUUCAACGAUUAAAGUCCU
rnacentral:rRNA from 1 species